CUUAGACUUGCAAGAGCCUGUGAAACAGAUGUCAUUCUUGUCUCCAUUUGACAGAGGAGUGUUGCAGGUCUACGGAUCUCGGUGCAAUUUGUUCAGUAUAUGGAGCAAUGCAAUGAGUAUUCCAACCCUGAACAGCUGGGAAAGGAGAAAGAUGUGAAAAAUGAGGAGGGAUCCAGGUGGAAAGAAGAUGAAGAUCCAAUUUUUAUCCAAUGGCACAGAAGGCUCUUCAUGUCCAUGCUCUGUUAAUGUCACCUUCCCCAAGCCGUGUCUGCACCAACUGCCCUGCACAAACCGCCACAGGACACCCACAACCCUGCACCCUGCCCUAGUCUUCUCUGCAUUUUCCCUCAAGCUCCAUGUUGCCUGCCGAUGUCUGCUUUUACAAUUCCCUCUUUCCAGAGUAUUCCCUUCAACUUCCUCAUUCUCAUUUCAACUAAUUUUUACUGGUACUCCAGUCCUCAUCCUGCAGGGCACCCCUUUGGAGUCAUUUUCUGACCUGGAGGUUUUAUAGAAAAUGUUCCUCUCUGUUUACCCUAUCAUGGCAGUGGUUUGCCAUAGGACAAUUGCCUGCUAAUUUCUCUGUCUCCUUCAUUACCUGGAAGCUCCUGGAGGGCAGGAUUUAUAUAAUCUUCACCACUGUUUUCCUAGUAGUUAGGAGUACCCAACCAAUAACAGUCACUCAAUAAAUACUUUUUGAAUAAAUUGUUGCAAAUAAAUAGUAACCCUAGAAUAUUCAAGGUAACAAUGUUCUGUACAAUCACUGGAAGAAAACAGCUGUUUAGUACAUUUUGAAAAUAUUUCCAUCAAAACAGAUUCAAAUAAAAUCUUGGCACUUCAAUGGAAUAAGCUUCA
rnacentral:lncRNA from 1 species